UGGCUAGACUAGUAGAAUUUAGUCUUUAUUUUUGUUUAGAUGUAAUGUUUUUUGUUUUUGUUGAGUGGUUGAAGGUAGAAUUUUGACUUUUUUUUUUGUUUGUUUUUAUAUCUGUAAGGUUUGUUUAACGAAUUAGAUUAGUACCUAAUUAGUCAAAGUUUAUGAAUUCAGGAGUAAAGUAGUUUUUAAACUGAAAGAAUAUUGGCAGAUUUUUUAAAUUAUCUUUGGAGGUUGAACUGUGAUUGAGAACCCUCGUUAGCUACUUUUUUUUUGGGCUCAUGUAUGAUCGUUUAUUUUGUUCUUGAGGAAUUGGAUUUUUUUUUCUUGGAUUAAAAAAUAGAUAUAUAUUUGGUUUAUGAGUUGAGUUGUUUUGACCUACAGUUUGUAAAAGAUUGGAUUUUAAGUGUGGUGCUUAUUUGAAAUUGUAAAAGACAGUAAAAGAAUUUUUAUGUUUUUUUGAAGAUUUAUUUAAAAGUGGUACAAAUCAUCCAUCAAUGCU
rnacentral:rRNA from 1 species